AGCGUCUACUUUAUUGCCGUAAUCACCUGUGUUCUUUGAGGGUUGCUGCUGAAUUGGGAAUUUCUUCAUUGCCAUGGAGAGGAGUGAUGAUUCAUAUAUAGUAUUUAAAAUCUUCGUACCUAUUGUAACCUUUGGGUUUUUCUCAAUCUGCUGUGCUGGCUUCUGUAAAAUAUUCCAGCGGGUUCGUAAGGAGCGCGUGGAGCGUCUGCAGGCUCAAGCUCGAGCCGUGGAUCAACGGUCCGUCUACGUCAUUCCAAUCUCUCUGUCUGAAGAUGAGCUGCACAGACCACCGCGCUACAGCACUGUACAGUUCUACGAGCCGCCUCCUGCUUAUCACGAGUUAAAUCUGAAGCCCGAGGCCUGUCCUGUGGAACCCCCUCCUGCAUAUUCAGAAUCUGUCUCUCCUUCACCCUCACAUUCAUGAUCACACCAAAUAUAAGCGCAUCUCAAGCACUUGGACUGGUUAAAGGAAAAAUAAGAGGCAACGUCAUAUUCUCAUGACUUUUCCAAGGACUACUACUCAUGCUUCCUAUGCAAAGGUUUAAAUGGUGAGAAGGAAAAUGUCACAGUUAUAGUAAUCUGCGAUUCUGUUGGGAUUUUGAGCAUGUCCUACAGGGUCACAGAGAAAGACUGUUUUGCACAAUGAGCAGCA
rnacentral:lncRNA from 1 species